rnacentral:rRNA from 1 species
UACGUAGGGUGCGAGCGUUAAUCGGAAUUACUGGGCGUAAAGCGUGCGCAGGCGGUUCGUUGUGUCGGCGGUGAAAGCCCCGGGCUUAACCUGGGAAUGGCCGUCGAAACUGGCGAACUGGAGUGUGGCAGAAGGGGGUGGAAUUCCGCGUGUAGCAGUGAAAUGCGUAGAGAUCCGGAGGAACACCGACGGCGCAGGCAGCGCCCUGGCCGCUUGCUGACACUGAGGCACGAAAGCUGGGGGAGCAAACAGG